rnacentral:rRNA from 1 species
AUUGAACGCUGGCGGCAGGCCUAACACAUGCAAGUCGAACGAGUGGCGGACGGGUGAGUAAUGUCUGGGAAACUGCCUGAUGGAGGGGGCUAACUACUGGAAACGGUAGCUAAUACCGCAUACCAUCAGAUGUGCCCCGAUGGGAUUAGCUUGUUGGUGGGGUAACGGCGCACCAAGGCGACGAUCCCUAGCUGGUCUGAGAGGCUGACCGGCCAAACUGGAACUGAGAGACGGUCCAGACGCCUAGGGGAGGCAGGGGUGGGGCAUAUUGCACAAUGGGCGCAAGCCUGAUGGAGCGAUGCCGCGUGGAUGAAGAAGGCCUGCGGGUUGUAAAGUACUUUAAGCGGGGAGGCGGUACCCGAAGAAGAAGCACCGGCUAACUCCGUGCCAGCAGCCGCGGUAAUAC